rnacentral:rRNA from 1 species
CGCGAUACAGGGUGACAGCCCCGUACACAAAAAUGCACAUGCUGUGAGCUCGAUGAGUAGGGCGGGACACGUGGUAUCCUGUCUGAAUAUGGGGGGACCAUCCUCCAAGGCUAAAUACUCCUGACUGACCGAUAGUGAACCAGUACCGUGAGGGAAAGGCGAAAAGAACCCCGGCGAGGGGAGUGAAAAAGAACCUGAAACCGUGUACGUACAAGCAGUGGGAGCACGCUUAGGCGUGUGACUGCGUACCUUUUGUAUAAUGGGUCAGCGACUUAUAUUCUGUAGCAAGGUUAACCGAAUAGGGGAGCCGAAGGGAAACCGAGUCUUAACUGGGCGUUAAGUUGCAGGGUAUAGACCCGAAACCCGGUGAUCUAGCCAUGGGCAGGUUGAAGGUUGGGUAACACUAACUGGAGGACCGAACCGACUAAUGUUGAAAAAUUAGCGGAUGACUUGUGGCUGGGGGUGAAAGGCCAAUCAAACCGGGAGAUAGCUGGUUCUCCCCGAAAGCUAUUUAGGUAGCGCCUCGUGAAUUCAUCUCCGGGGGUAGAGCACUGUUUCGGCAAGGGGGUCAUCCCGACUUACCAACCCGAUGCAAACUGCGAAUACCGGAGAAUGUUAUCACGGGAGACACACGGCGGGUGCUAACGUCCGUCGUGAAGAGGGAAACAACCCAGACCGCCAGCUAAGGUCCCAAAGUCAUGGUUAAGUGGGAAACGAUGUGGGAAGGCCCAGACAGCCAGGAUGUUGGCUUAGAAGCAGCCAUCAUUUAAAGAAAGCGUAAUAGCUCACUGGUCGAGUCGGCCUGCGCGGAAGAUGUAACGGGGCUAAACCAUGCACCGAAGCUGCGGCAGCGACACUAUGUGUUGUUGGGUAGGGGAGCGUUCUGUAAGCCUGUGAAGGUGUGCUGUGAGGCAUGCUGGAGGUAUCAGAAGUGCGAAUGCUGACAUAAGUAACGAUAAAGCGGGUGAAAAGCCCGCUCGCCGGAAGACCAAGGGUUCCUGUCCAACGUUAAUCGGGGCAGGGUGAGUCGACCCCUAAGGCGAGGCCGAAAGGCGUAGUCGAUGGGAAACAGGUUAAUAUUCCUGUACUUGGUGUUACUGCGAAGGGGGGACGGAGAAGGCUAUGUUGGCCGGGCGACGGUUGUCCCGGUUUAAGCGUGUAGGCUGGUUUUCCAGGCAAAUCCGGAAAAUCAAGGCUGAGGCGUGAUGACGAGGCACUACGGUGCUGAAGCAACAAAUGCCCUGCUUCCAGGAAAAGCCUCUAAGCAUCAGGUAACAUCAAAUCGUACCCCAAACCGACACAGGUGGUCAGGUAGAGAAUACCAAGGCGCUUGAGAGAACUCGGGUGAAGGAACUAGGCAAAAUGGUGCCGUAACUUCGGGAGAAGGCACGCUGAUAUGUAGGUGAGGUCCCUCGCGGAUGGAGCUGAAAUCAGUCGAAGAUACCAGCUGGCUGCAACUGUUUAUUAAAAACACAGCACUGUGCAAACACGAAAGUGGACGUAUACGGUGUGACGCCUGCCCGGUGCCGGAAGGUUAAUUGAUGGGGUCAGCGCAAGCGAAGCUCUUGAUCGAAGCCCCGGUAAACGGCGGCCGUAACUAUAACGGUCCUAAGGUAGCGAAAUUNCGCAAGGCGAAGCUCUUGAUCGAAGCCCCGGUAAACGGCGGCCGUAACUAUAACGGUCCUAAGGUAGCGAAAUUCCUUGUCGGGUAAGUUCCGACCUGCACGAAUGGCGUAAUGAUGGCCAGGCUGUCUCCACCCGAGACUCAGUGAAAUUGAACUCGCUGUGAAGAUGCAGUGUACCCGCGGCAAGACGGAAAGACCCCGUGAACCUUUACUAUAGCUUGACACUGAACAUUGAGCCUUGAUGUGUAGGAUAGGUGGGAGGCUUAGAAGUGUGGACGCCAGUCUGCAUGGAGCCGACCUUGAAAUACCACCCUUUAAUGUUUGAUGUUCUAACGUUGACCCGUAAUCCGGGUUGCGGACAGUGUCUGGUGGGUAGUUUGACUGGGGCGGUCUCCUCCUAAAGAGUAACGGAGGAGCACGAAGGUUGGCUAAUCCUGGUCGGACAUCAGGAGGUUAGUGCAAUGGCAUAAGCCAGCUUGACUGCGAGCGUGACGGCGCGAGCAGGUGCGAAAGCAGGUCAUAGUGAUCCGGUGGUUCUGAAUGGAAGGGCCAUCGCUCAACGGAUAAAAGGUACUCCGGGGAUAACAGGCUGAUACCGCCCAAGAGUUCAUAUCGACGGCGGUGUUUGGCACCUCGAUGUCGGC